rnacentral:rRNA from 1 species
UACGUAGGGGGCGAGCGUUGUCCGGAUUUAUUGGGCGUAAAGAGCGUGUAGGCGGCCAGACAGGUCCGUUGUGAAAACUCGAGGCUCAACCUCGAGAUGUCGAUGGAAACCGUCUGGCUAGAGUCCGGAAGAGGAGUGUGGAAUUCCUGGUGUAGCGGUGAAAUGCGCAGAUAUCAGGAGGAACACCUAUGGCGAAGGCAGCACUCUGGGACGGUACUGACGCUGAGACGCGAAAGCGUGGGGAGCGAACAGG